rnacentral:ncRNA from 1 species
AGAAAUAUAAGAUAAACUUGACGAGAGGACCCGAGUGAACUGACCUCUGGUGUACCAGCUGUUCCGCCCGGAGCAUUGCUGGGUAGCUAAGUCGGGAACUGAUAAGUGCUGAAAGCAUAUAAGCGCGAAGCAGGCCCCAAGAUUAGGACUCUUUAAGAUUUCCCGCAGACUACGGGAUUGAUAGGCUGUAGGUGGAAGCCCAGUAAUGGGUUAAGCCGAGCAGUACUAAUAAAUCGACAA